AUGGCUCAGAUUGAACGCUGGCGGCAGGCCUAACACAUGCAAGUCGAGCGGUAGCACAGAGAGCU
rnacentral:rRNA from 1 species